rnacentral:rRNA from 1 species
UACGAAGGGGGCUAGCGUUGCUCGGAAUCACUGGGCGUAAAGCGCACGUAGGCGGACUCUUAAGUCGGUGGUGAAAUCCUGGAGCUCAACUCCAGAACCGCCUUCGAUACUGGGAGUCUCGAGUUCGGGAGAGGUGAGUGGAACUGCGAGUGUAGAGGUGAAAUUCGUAGAUAUUCGCAAGAACACCAGUGGCGAAGGCGGCUCACUGGCCCGAUACUGACGCUGAGGUGCGAAAGCGUGGGGAGCAAACAGG